CUACGGGGUGCUCCAGUGAGGAAUAUUGCACAAUGGGGGGAACCCUGAUGCAGCAACGCCGCGUGGAGGAUGACGCAUUUCGGUGUGUAAACUCCUUUUAUAUGUCAAGAAAAUGACGGUAGCAUAUGAAUAAGCACCGGCUAACUCCGUGCCAGCAGCCGCGGUAAUAGCGGAGGGUGCAAGCGUUACUCGGAAUCACUGGGCGUAAAGGGCGCGUAGGCGGGUUGGAAAGUCAGGUGUGAAAUCCUACAGCUUAACUGUAGAACUGCACUUGAAACUUCUAAUCUAGAGUAUGGGAGGGGGAGAUGGAAUUAGUGGUGUAGGGGUAAAAUCCGUAGAUAUCACUAGGAAUACCUAAAGCGAAGGCGAUCUCCUGGAACAUUACUGACGCUAAGGCGUGAAAGCGUGGGGAGCAAACAGGAUUAGAUACCCCAGUAGUC
rnacentral:rRNA from 1 species